GGGGAAGCCAGCCGACAGCUGCGAGCAGAAGUCACUACCGGGCCUGCAGGGAGUCCCUAGCUGCCAUCAUGUGCUGUUAAUCUGAGGAACUGGCCGGGUUUCCAUCCUGGACUGGAGUGGACCUGAUGGCAGCCAAGAAACCACAGCUUGGACUCCACUACAACCAACAGGCCUUUGUCCUACUGGUCUGGUAGGAAGGCUCGCAGCCUGUCCUCCCCUCCAUACACCUCACUACACUUAUUGCCCACCUGCUCGCACUCCCCUUUCCCAUGGAUAAUACAACUGGACAUUUUCAAUUGAACCUUCACUAAACCCUCGUGGGUUGUUGGCAUCGGGUUUUUGUGUGUGUGUAUGUAAUCACCAGGGGUUAAUUUAUUUAUCCGGAUGGCUCAUUUUGAGGGCUU